rnacentral:rRNA from 1 species
AUUGAACGCUGGCGGCAUGCUUUAUACAUGCAGGUCGAACGGUAACAGGCCGCAAGGUGCUGACGAGUGGCGAACGGGUGAGUAAUGCAUCGGAACGUGCCCAGUCGGGGGGGAUAACUACUCGAAAGAGUAGCUAAUACCGCAUACGAUCUAUGGAUGAAAGCGGGGGACCGGAAGGCCUCGCGCGAUUGGAGCGGCCGGUGUCAGAUUAGGUAGUUGGUGGGGUAAAGGCUCACCAAGCCAACGAUCUGUAGCUGGUCUGAGAGGACGACCAGCCACACUGGGACUGAGACACGGCCCAGACUCCUACGGGAGGCAGCAGUGGGGAAUUUUGGACAAUGGGCGCAAGCCUGAUCCAGCAAUGCCGCGUGCAGGAAGAAGGCCUUCGGGUUGUAAACUGCUUUUGUACGGAACGAAACGGCUCUGGUUAAUACCCGGGGCUAAUGACGGUACCGUAAGAAUAAGCACCGGCUAACUACGUG